rnacentral:tRNA from 1 species
AGUCUUAUAUUCAUGUUUGUGAUGAUAGAAUGCAAUUCUAAGGGGGUGGUAAAGGUUAAGCCACUAAGGCUU